GAAGGAAGGAAGGAAAUUCAAGCCAUGUGUUAUGCUUUUAUAGAACAUAAAAACACCCCAUCAAGCCUUUUAGGAAGACACAAUUAAGUGAGGGAAGGUGCUUUCACAAAUGGACAAUUGACAUAACUGUCAUCAGAUUCCUCGCCUGCCCCCGCCACAAGCACUCCAUGUUGGCAUAGCAAGGUUUUGUCCCUGCAUGCAGAUGUGUGUAUGUAUGAAGGCAUAUUCAUUCCAAAUGAGCUUCAUGAAGUUGUGUAUAAUGUCCUUAAUGUGCGUAGUAUGUGAUGAUCAUUUAGCUGUGAUCAUCAGCAAAGAGCUAAAGCCACCCUGCCCAAAACUUUAAAUGCAGUUUCCUGUCAGCUCAGAUCAUUAUUGGGGGAACUUGAUAUCGACAAUGGAUAACAACAGAACUCCAUAUAGAGAGGGUGCCCUCUCACCUAUGGACUCCUUUUAAUAGCAUAAUGUGCUCGGAGGUUGUUGUGAUACCUGUGAUGACUGAACAUAAAUUCACAAAUGGACUUACUAUGCUCUUAUUGCCACUUUGUCACCAUGCCAGUUUUGGUAGGUAGUUCUGUGAGACUCUGUUUUUAGCAGCAAAUCUCUAAAUUUUAGCUAGUGUGCACACAGCUGUAUUGUCUCUUCAGGAGAGCAUUGCUAGAACUGGGGAGACAGGUUCAUGGAGCUAUUUUCCCCCAACAAGAUUAUUCAUUGAUCUGCAAAUAAUACUUUUUUCCUGAGUGAUUUGUUUACCAUAUUUCACCCUUUAAAAAAGGAAAAUAAAAUAAAAAGACAAUCCAGGCAA